rnacentral:rRNA from 1 species
GGGGAUAAGCUCCAUUGUCAAGAGGGAAACAGCCCAGACCAUCAGUUAAGGCCCCUAAAAAUUGCUAAGUGCGAAAGGUGGUGGGAGUGCAUAGACAACCAGGAGGUUUGCUUAGAAGCAGCAAUCCUUUAAAGAAUGCGUAAUAGCUCACUGGUCGAGUAAACCUGCGCCGAAAAUGUACGGGACUAAGUAAUUUGCCGAAGCUAUGGGGUAAUAAUAAAUUAUCGGUAGGGGAGCGUUCUGUUGUAGGUUGAAGCGUUAGUGAAAACGGGCGUGGACGAAGCAGAAGUGAGAAUGUCGGCUUGAGUAGCGAAAACAUUGGUGAGAAUCCAAUGCCCCGAAAACCUAAGGAUUCCUCCGGAAGGCUCGUCCGCGGAGGGUUAGUCAGGACCUAAGGCAAGGCCGAUUUGGCGUAGUCGAUGGAUAACAGGUAGAUAUUCCUGUACCACUUUUUAUUGAUAAUGAGGGA